UGGUAAUCAGUGAGCCAAGGUAUGGGA
rnacentral:sRNA from 1 species